UGGUCAAGUUAUUAAGGGUGCAGGGCGGAUGCCUUGGCACUAGGAGCCGAUGAAGGACGUGAUAAGCUGCGAUAAGCUUCGGGGAGUUGCACGUAAACUUUGAUCCGAAGAUUUCCGAAUGAGGAAACUCACUUAGAGUAAUGUCUAAGUAUCAUUAAGUGAAUACAUAGCUUAAUGAGGGGAACUCAGGGAACUGAAACAUCUAAGUACCUGAAGGAAGAGAAAGAAAUUCGAUUCCGUAAGUAGCGGCGAGCGAACGCGGAUUAGCCCAAACCAAUAAAGUUUUCUUUAUUGGGGUUGCGGACAUACCACAUAUAAGAGGUCAUUAUAGACGAAGAAGUUUGGAAAAACUCAUCAUAGAAGGUAAUAAUCCUGUAUGUUAAACGAGAAGACUUUAGAUCAAAAUAAUAAUUCUUUAGGUAUGAUCCAGAGUACCACGGGACACGUGAAACCCUGUGGGAAGCAGGAGGGACCACCCUCCAAGGCUAAAUACUACCUAGUGACCGAUAGCGUAUAGUACCGUGAGGGAAAGGUGAAAAGAACCCCGGGAGGGGAGUGAAAUAGAACCUGAAACCCUGCACUUACAAGCUGUGGAAGCACAUU
rnacentral:rRNA from 1 species